rnacentral:rRNA from 1 species
AUUGAACGCUGGCGGCAUGCCUUACACAUGCAAGUCGAACGGCAGCACGGGAGCAAUCCUGGUGGCGAGUGGCGAACGGGUGAGUAAUAUAUCGGAACGUGCCCAGUCGUGGGGGAUAACGCAGCGAAAGCUGUGCUAAUACCGCAUACGAUCUAUGGAUGAAAGCGGGGGACCGCAAGGCCUCGCGCGAUUGGACCGGCCGAUAUCAGAUUAGCUAGUUGGUGGGGUAAAGGCCCACCAAGGCGACGAUCUGUAGCUGGUCUGAGAGGACGACCAGCCACACUGGAACUGAGACACGGUCCAGACUCCUACGGGAGGCAGCAGUGGGGAAUUUUGGACAAUGGGCGCAAGCCUGAUCCAGCAAUGCCGCGUGCAGGAUGAAGGCCUUCGGGUUGUAAACUGCUUUUGUACGGAACGAAACGGUGAGCUUUAAUACAGUUUGCUAAUGACGGUACCGUAAGAAUAAGCACCGGCUAACUACGUGCCAGCCGCCGCCGUAAUAC